rnacentral:rRNA from 1 species
GGUUGAUCCUGCCAGUAGUCAUAUGCUUGUCUAAAAGAUUAAGCCAUGCAUGUCUAAGUAUAAACUGUUUAUACAAGUGAAACUGCGAAUGGCUCAUUAAAUCAGUUAUAAUUUAUUUGAUAGUACCCUUUACUACUUGGAUAACCGUGGUAAUUCUAGAGCUAAUACAUGCCUUUGAAAGUCCUGACCUUUACUGGGAGGGAUGCAGUUAUUAGAUACAAAACCAACCCGGGCAACCGGUUCUUUGGUGAUUCAUGAUAACUUUGCGAAUCGCAUAGCCUUUUGU